UACAGAGGGUGCAAGCGUUAAUCGGAAUUACUGGGCGUAAAGGGCGCGUAGGUGGUUACGUAAGUGAGAUGUGAAAUCCCCGGGCUUAACCUGGGAAUGUCAUCUUAUACUGCGUAGCUGGAGUGCAAUAGAGGGUAGUGGAAUUUCCGGUGUAGCGGUGAAAUGCGUAGAUAUCGGAAGGAACACCAGUGGCGAAGGCGGCUACCUGGAUUGACACUGACACUGAGGCGCGAGAGCGUGGGGAGCAAACAGG
rnacentral:rRNA from 1 species